rnacentral:rRNA from 1 species
GAUGAACGCUGACAGAAUGCUUAACACAUGCAAGUCGACUCGAGUCUUCGGACUUGGGUGGCGCACGGGUGAGUAACGCGUAAAGAACUUGCCUCUUAGACCGGGACAACAUCUGGAAACGGAUGCUAAUACCGGAUAUUAUUGUUACAUGGCAUCAUGUAGGAAUGAAAGGAUAAGAUUGCUAGAGGAGAGCUUUGCAUCCUAUUAGCUAGUUGGUAAGGUAGAGGCUUACCAAGGCGAUGAUAGGUAGCCGGCCUGAGAGGGUGGACGGCCACAAGGGGACUGAGAUACGGCCCUU